AAUAGCGAAGAUAAAAUAUUGAACACCAGUUCUUCUCCGAUUGCCGAAGUUAAGCAAUGUUGGGCCCAAUUAGUACUUACAUAAGUGACCAGCUGGGAACAGCGGGUAUAGCUGGCU
rnacentral:rRNA from 1 species